CAACAUAUUCAACUAUUAUUAUUCAUAUAUAAAGGCAAGAGUUAAUACAUAAGAUUGCAAAAUAGCUUAAAAUACAAGAUUCUAGAACAUCUUAAAGUCCACCAGCAAUCAACCGAUACUCUUCGGUAAGGUCUUCACCGCAUUCAGCUACUCUUGUUCAUUUGCUUCCCCUACAAAAUAAUCAAAACUCCCAUCUUUACUAGAUUUGGUUACAUAAAAUUAACUAAAAAUAAAAGGCAGAGAAUAAAUUUAGUUGAACGCCAAAAUAUAAAUAGUGAGGUCCAGGAUAAGCAUUGCUCUUGUGGAAUAGGGUAGAGUUUCAAAAUGAACCAAGCAAUAUUUCUUCUGGGCAACAAAAGAGUUAUUUAUUGGAAGUAUAUUAAAGUUCUUUUCUUCAAUUACCUGGAAUCGAGGGAAAAAAUUAUCACAUGGAAUGAUCGACAGAAGUAUAAAUCACCAAAGCAUAAAUAAUAUACCAUACAUGAUCUACAGCUUCCCUUUCUGUUGCAAGAUGCUGGUGAAUUUCUACAAACCACAUAGUCCUACAACUUGUAGUCUUACACUAUGGCCCAUCACCCCGUUGACCAAUUCAUCCAAGAAACAAUUAAACUACUAUAUUGAGAAAUAGAGAUAAGUUGAUUGGAAUACCUCUCAGGAGGAGGCUUCUUGUUAGUACCUGAAGAAAUUAACAAGAAGCUCUAUUUUUCAAUAUAAUUUUCUGUUUGAUUCGAAAUGUCAUGGUCUAAAUGUUGAACUACCGACAAUCAAAAGCGAAACGUCGACAGAGUUGCAUACCUAACAAGAAGGCAGUACAUGAAACAUAAAACAUAACAUUAGAAACUAGAAAAUAAACAUCAUCAAGAAAAAGAGUCCUCUACAGGAGGAACUAUCAGAAUUAGCACAACAAGAAUAAAGGAUUAUGCAAAUAAAUUAUGAUUCAAGAGCACGCAUAUGUUUAUAUUAAUAAACUGAUUAUGCCUUAUAUACAAGCAAGUUGUUCAGACGAAAAGAUCAAAACAUAAGGGGAAGGUAUCAGUGUGCCCAAAUCCUAGCAUGGCCUUGAUUUCUAUAGAUUGUAUUUCUAGCAACUAGCAAUAUUAAUUUCUUGCAUAUAACCAAACAAUGUUAAGUUCAGGAAGCCUUACAAUAAUAUUUUGAACUCAAAACAAAAACAAAAAGGAUAUGCUAAAAUUAUACAUCAUAUUUAAAGCUAUCAAUGAACUGAUAUAUUAUUAUCCCUUCAAAAGAAGAAUAUGAUGCUAAAAAGGAGAGUACAUGUGUGUUAUGUAUCAAAUUUCUGCAGAUUAGAGAAAAUAUAUUGUCGAAUAUGUUCAAAAACUUAGUGAAUAGUGAUAGAGUAUAUAAAUAAUUAAUAUAUUUAUAGUUAGCAAGAAAGAAGAGAUAAAGUAUAUGAAUAACAGUAGUUGACGUUUAAUUCGACAAACAGAGCCACCAAUAUAAUAGAACACACACACACACAUACAUAUAUAUAUAUAAAGAGACUAAGCGUCAUUUCUUACCAAACUCACUCCAAACUCAAACCAAUCAACCAACCACGUAAAAACAUGGAUAACGAAGCAUAAAGAGGCGAAAAUGGGAAAAUUGGGGAUAUAGAGUGGUAACUCGACAUAAACAAGCGUUCGUCCUCCCUGGUAGACUCCUCCACGGGCCGAUCUCUCCUCUGCACUUUCACUAAAUCUAUUUCCUUUGAUCUCAACUUACGAACCUAAUGACCCAAAAUAGCAACUGGCUCCACAUCAUAGGUCAAAUCACCAUCUAACUGAACUGUGCUAAAGUUCAAAACAUGAGACGGGUCCCCAACAUACUUUCAGAGAAUAGAAACAUGAAAUACCUGAUGCACACUCGACAAGCUGGGGGCAAAGAAAGUAUAUAAGCCACCUCCCCAAUCCUCCUAAGUACCUCAAACGGCCCAAUGAACUGCGGGCUCAACUUCCCUUUCUUUCCAAAUAUCAUAACGCCCUUCAUGGGAAAAACCUUCAGCAAGUCCUUCUCGGCAACCAUGUAGGAUACAUUGAACCUUCCACUCCGCAUAACUCUUCUGACGUGACUGCACUGAACAAAGCCUCUCCUGAAUCACCUUCACCUAUAUAUAUAUAUAUAUAUAUAUAUAUAUAUCAUUUCCUCUUGAAUGAUACAUGUAAACCAAAAGCCAAGACUAAUAUGUCUACUAAGCCAUGAACCAAAAGAAAAAAUUUGUAAUGCUUGGAAAUGCACCGUAAGUAAUGGGUAUGCCUUCAAAAAAGCCAUUGUGUGUCACAUGUGUUCAAUAUUACCCAGGCCUGAAGAAUGCAGUUCUCUACCCAGGCUUUGUCAUGAGGUAUGUAAUAAAAAAAUAAGUCUGACUGAAGGCAAAAGGACCUCAGAAAUAUGAGCUCAGAUCGAAUAUUGUAUUUAGAUGGUCUCUAAACUUCAAAGAGGAAGAUGACUAUAGAAAAACUGCAAAUACUUUUCACGGCAAGAGUGCCAUUAUCUCCAUUUUAAUUUUGGAGCAUAGGCAUGGGUUUCUCUGUUCUUUUACCAAGAAUUUCAUUUUAGGACUCUAACUAGCAUAAAUUAAAAUUAACACCAGAAAACCAAAUCAAAUACUAGCAACUUUAGGGUUUAAAUACUACCCGCUUCCUUUAAAGGUUGAAAAAGAUAAAGGAAAAAUAUACACACGCAUACAUAAAUUUGAUAGAUCUCAGUGUACAAAACUAUACAUGAGCAACAAUAGUAUAUUCAAUUCGAAACUCUAACGGCAAACACAUAAAUUCAAAACCCCAGCUACAAAAACAUAUGCACAUAAAUCAUUAUCAUUCAAGAAAUUCGAAAAAUACCAGAAAGAUAUUGAAAAUCGAGAAACUAAGGUCUAGAUCUGGAUUUACUUACCUUUGAUCAUACAACCAUGAAGCAAGUUGAAGAGAUCGAGACACUGAGUUCAGAACUCCUUCAGAGAUUCGGCACAGUUGUUCCAAUCUUUGAAGAUCAAAUUUCAAAGCUGUGAUUCUCGGCUCCUCUAAGAGAGGUUUGUUGCCCACGGACAGAUUUCAGAGCUUCGAUGUGUUCGAGAGUGCUAUAAGCUUCGAUGUGUUCUGUUUUUGACAAGAAAUAAAACAAAAGUAGAAUAU
rnacentral:lncRNA from 1 species